rnacentral:rRNA from 1 species
UACGAAGGGGGGCUAGCGUUGCUCGGAAUCACUGGGCGUAAAGCGCACGUAGGCGGAUUGUUAAGUCAGGGGGUGAAAUCCUGGAGCUCAACUCCAGAACUGCCUUUGAUACUGGCGAUCUCGAGUCCGGGAGAGGUGAGUGGAACUGCGAGUGUAGAGGUGAAAUUCGUAGAUAUUCGCAAGAACACCAGUGGCGAAGGCGGCUCACUGGCCCGGUACUGACGCUGAGGUGCGAAAGCGUGGGGAGCGAACAGG